GACGAACGCUGGCGGCGUGCUUAACACAUGCAAGUCGAGCGGUAAGGCCCUUUCGGGGGUACACGAGCGGCGAACGGGUGAGUAACACGUGGGUGACCUGCCUCUAGCUCUGGGAUAAGCCUGGGAAGCUGGGUCUAAUACCGGAUAUGACCUCGCGGUGCAUGUUGCGGGGUGGAAAGCCUUGUGCGGCUAGGGAUGGGCCCGCGGCCUAUCAGCUUGUUGGUGGGGUGAUGGCCUACCAAGGCGACGACGGGUAGCCGGCCUGAGAGGGCGACCGGCCACACUGGGACUGAGACACGGCCCAGACUCCUACGGGAGGCAGCAGUGGGGAAUCUUGCGCAAUGGGCGAAAGCCUGACGCAGCGACGCCGCGUGA
rnacentral:rRNA from 1 species